rnacentral:sRNA from 1 species
AAAGCACUUCUUAGGCAUUUAAAAUCUGGUUGCGGUUCUAAGUCUUAUACACAAUCAUACACAUGCCAUCUAGUCAUAUUUGACUCCAAAACACUAUCAAGCUUCUCUUGCUUCUCCAAGCUUUGAUGGUGUAGCCGAAAUCCGUAUGAAUCUUUGGCUUUGUAUCUUUUAACAAGGAAACACUACUUAGGCUUUUACAUUUUGCUUGCGGCUCUAGUUGUUAUACUUAAUCAUACACAUGACAUCUAGUCAUAUUUGACUCCAAAACACUAACCAACCUUCUUCUUGGUACUCAAAGCUUUGAUGGUGUAGUCGAAGUUCAUACGAGUGUUUGGCUUUGUUUCUUCUAACAAAGAAACACUACUUAGCCUUUUAAGAUCCGAUUGCGGUUCUAAGUCUUAUACUCAAUCAUACACAUGAUAUCUAGUCAUAUUUGACUCCAAAACACUAACCAAGCUUCUUCUUGUACUCAAAGCUUUAAUGGUGUAGUCGAAUUUCAU